GAGCAGCCAUACUCUUCAGCGACU
rnacentral:siRNA from 1 species